GCUCGCCGGCGAUGGAGGGCCCCCCUCCUCCUCCGCGGAGAGAGAGCGGACAUGCCCCGCGCUGUCAAUCUUCUCUUCGGUUGGGGCUAGCCUCGGGAUUUCGCGUCCUCUGGCGCGCGUGGUGCCCGACGUGCUGCCCCCUGCUUCGUCGUCGGGUACGGUUCUACAGCCGGCGACGUGUUUCCGGUGCCCCUGGGGGCUCCUUCUUAUCCGACGCUGCCUCUCUCCUUGCUUUUCCCCCACCCACUCCCGCCGCGCGCCUCCUCUUCUUGUUCUUCUUCUCUUCCUCUCCAGAUCUCGUCUCGGUUGACCUUGCGAUAGCCAUGGCCUUCGUUCGUGCCGCUGCUGGUUGAGGGAUCUUCAGCACCGAUUGAUUGUUCUUGGAAGGUACUGGCGUCGUCCCGUGCUUUCUACAAGCUGGUGCUGGUGUUGGUGCUGGGUUGGCUUCCUCUGAGGAUUUGUGCGCUCGUGUUCUUCAUACAGUCGAGUUUCAGAAGAGAGGGCUGCCGCAUGCUCACAUCCUCAUCUGGUUAAAAGGAGACAAACGAGAGGUGCAUGUUUGAUGAGGCUAUCACCUCGUCCGGCUUGAAGUGAAUUGCAGUAUCAGCUACCUGUCCAUAAUAUCUAGAUGUUCUCAUGUGCCUUUUAUUCAAGUACUUAUGUUUGUUUAUCACUAUAACUUGCUUGUAUUACCGAACAGUUUACUGUUGUACUGGUUAGUUCUUAUGCAACCUACUAUAUGUAAAUUGCGUUUUCGCUCUGUG